rnacentral:rRNA from 1 species
CACGCCGUAAACGAUGGAUACUAGCUGUUGGGAGCAAUCUCAGUGGCUAAGCGAAAGUGAUAAGUAUCCCACCUGGGGAGUACGUUCGCAAGAAUGAAACUCAAAGGAAUUGACGGGGGCCCGCACAAGCGGUGGAGCAUGUGGUUUAAUUCGAUGAUACGCGAGGAACCUUACCAAGGCUUAAAUGUAGAUUGACCGGUUUGGAAACAGAUCUUUCGCAAGACAAUUUACAAGGUGC